rnacentral:rRNA from 1 species
CAGCAGCCGCGGUAACACCGGCGGCCCGAGUGGUGAUCGUGAUUAUUGGGUCUAAAGGGUCCGUAGCCGGUUUGGUCAGUCCUCCGGGAAAUCUGAUAGCUCAACUAUUAGGCUUUCGGGGGAUACUGCCAGACUUGGAACCGGGAGAGGUAAGAGGUACUACAGGGGUAGGAGUGAAAUCCUGUAAUCCCUGUGGGACCACCUGUGGCGAAGGCGUCUUACCAGAACGGGUUCGACGGUGAGGGACGAAAGCUGGGGGGCACGAACCGGAUUAGAUACCCGGGUAGUCCCAGCCGUAAACGAUGCUCGCUAGGUGUCAGGCAUGGCGCGACCGUGUCUGGUGCCGCAGGGAAGCCGUGAAGCGAGCCACCUGGGAAGUACGGCCGCAAGGCUGAAACUUAAAGGAAUUGGCGGGGGAGCACAACAACGGGUGGAGCCUGCGGUUUAAUUGGACUCAACGCCGGACAACUCACCGGGGGCGACAGCAAUAUGUAGGCCAAGCUGAAGACUUUGCCUGAAUCGCUGAGGAGGAGUGGUGCAUGG